UACGAAGGGGGCUAGCGUUGUUCGGAUUUACUGGGCGUAAAGCGCACGUAGGCGGAUCGAUCAGUCAGGGGUGAAAUCCCAGAGCUCAACUCUGGAACUGCCUUUGAUACUGUCGAUCUGGAGUAUGGAAGAGGUGAGUGGAAUUCCGAGUGUAGAGGUGAAAUGCGUAGAUAUCUGGAGGAACACCGGUGGCGAAGGCGGCAUCCUGGACCGACACUGACGCUGAGGAGCGAAAGCCAGGGGAGCAAACGGG
rnacentral:rRNA from 1 species